UGAGCAGGUGUAGUGGUUUGAGCAUUAGACUACGACUCUGGAGACCAGAGUUCGAAUCUCUAUUCAG